UUGCCUCUUGUUCCUUUCCUAAUUCAGUCCCACUGUAUGUCGUGGUUGAGAUCUACUGUACGCCAUGGUUAGGAUCUACAACUCCACAAUUCAGUUGGUGCGUAGGGGGCUGUGGUAGUGGUGGUGCUCGUGGUGGUGGUGUUUGGGUGACGAUGGCUUUGUUGGAUUCGAUAAUUAUGGAGAUUAUGUUGGAUCUGGUGGUGGCUGUGGUUUUAUUGGUGGUGGAUCUUGUUGUUGGCGUAGGUGGUUUUGAAGUUGAAAAUGGUGGUUU
rnacentral:lncRNA from 1 species